GAUGAACGCUGGCGGCGUGCCUAAUACAUGCAAGUCGAGCGAACGGACGAGGAGCUUGCUUCUCUGAUGUUAGCGGCGGACGGGUGAGUAACACGUGGAUAACCUACCUAUAAGACUGGGAUAACUUCGGGAAACCGUAGCUAAUACCGGAUAAUAUUUUGCACCGCAUGGGUCACAAGUGAAAGACGGUCUUGCUGUCACUUAUAGAUGGAUCCGCGCUGCAUUAGUUAGUUGGUAAGGUAACGGCUUACCAAGGCAACGAUGCAUAGCCGACCUGAGAGGGUGCGCGGCCACACUGGAACUGAGACACGGUCCAGACUCCUACGGGAGGCAGAAGUAGGGAAUCUUCCGCAAUGGGCGAAAGCGUGACGGAGCAACGCCGCGUGAGUGAUGAAGGUCUUCGGAUCGUAUAACUCUGUUAUUAGGGAAGAACAUAUGUGUAAGUAACUGUGCACAUCUUGACGGUACCUAAUCAGAAAGCCACGGCUAACUACGGG
rnacentral:rRNA from 1 species